CUCAGGCUAUUUUCACUAGCAUGGCAAGUUCCAGAUAAUCCAAUCUAGACCCCAUUUCUUGAGGGUAUGACUACAUUAUCAAAAGAUGAUUGCUCCUCUGCAGAGUAGAAGUUAUAUGUAGCUGCUCCCUUGUUCCCUCCCAACCCCCCCUCACUGAAAAGGGAGGUCCUCCUCUCCUUCCACCUGACCAUAGUGUAUCAGUUCUCAUCAGGAGUGGCUGCAUUGUCUUCAUCUGUGUCCUGUUACUUAGAGACUGAAUGCCCAGGAUUUCACUGUUGUGAUAUUCAUUUGAAUGAGGAAUACAAAACUCAACAAUCAAGUCAGAUGGAAUGAAAACUGAAGAACUCUUGAGAUAAAACAGAAAAUUAGAGUGCACAAACCAGGUAAAGAGGAAACUGAGAAUGUAAAGGUAAAAAAAAUGAAGACCAAAAGAAGUAAAAAGGUGAGGACAAGAGAAAAAUUCAUACUAAAAAUGUGUGAUAUGAGUAAGAGGAGUUUAUAAUUUUUAUCCUUCCUGACACAUAAUCUGUUUGUAUCAUAUCAUGCAAACCUUUGUAUAUGCAUAUUU